CCUCUAUAUGGAGGAGGCUGGAAGGAAGUGCACAGAGAGAAUCACACAACUUAAAGUAUUGGACUUUGUUUCCAUUUGGGACGGUUUAGAUGCUAACCUGCUUACAGGACAACUUCAAAACAACUGGGGAUUAACGCGCCCGGUCCCCUCCCCCUGGGCUCAUCUGAAUUCUAAGUAUAGACCCAUGAUGAAAGAUUUCAAAGGCAAUAGCCAUUGCUCCAAAAUAGCCUGGUUAAUAUUUGCGGAGUGGUUCAGCUCUUGUCUCUUUCCUGCCUGUCAAAAAGAUGCUAUCUAUGCCUGUGGUUAAAACCAUUACAGUCCUUCAAACGUUAUGCAUGAUUUUCAGGCUUCAGCCUCAGUAGCAGCAGCUUCCUGCCAAUGCGGGCCUUGGGAGGUCUUGGCGAUGGCUGAAGAAGUUUGCUUUCUGCUACCACAUGAAGUGCUUGGGUUUAUUUCCCAGUUCUGGGCCUGGUCCAGUGCUGGCUGGUCUCAUCCUAGCUGUUGCAGGCUUCUUGGGAGCUAGCAGAGGCUCGGGGGAAACAGGACACAUGAUGCUGAGGAGGGGCCAGUGUUGUGGCACAGGGCAUUAAGCUACCACCUGUGAUGCUGCAUCCCAUUCCUGAGGGCCAGUUUGAGUCCCUGUUGCUCCAAUUCUGACCAAGAUUCCUGUUAAUGCCUGGGAAAAUCAAGGGAAAUGGCCUAAGUACUCGGGACCCUGCCACCCCGCUGGGAGAACAGGAUGGAGUUCCAGGAUCCUGGCUUAGGUCUGGCCCAACGCUGGCUGUUGUGACCAUUUAGGGAGUGAACCAGCAGAUGAAGAUUUUUCUUUCUCUUUGUGUGUUUGUGUGUGUCUCCCUCUAUCAAAUAAAUAAUUUUUAAAAAAAGAUGCUGGGGAGAGGACAGAAGAAGAUCCUCAUAAAACUUCCUAUAAGAAGAGUCUCAGGGCCGGCGUUGUGACACAGCGGGUUAAGACGCUGCUUGUGGAGCGGGCGUCCCUUAUGGGGGCAGUUUGAGUCCCCACUGCUCCACUUCUGAUCUACCUGGGAAAGCAUCAGAGGACAGCCCAACUGCUUGGGCCCCUGCACUCACGUGGGAGACAUGGAAGAAGCUCCUGGCUCCAGCCUGACCCAGCCCUGGCUGUUGCGGCCAUUUGGGGAGCGAACUGCUGGAUGGAAGACCUCUCUGUGUUUCCCUCUGUCUCUGUAACUUCUGCUUUUCAAAUAAAUAAAAUAAAUCCCCUUUAAAAAAAGAGCCUCAGUGGAACUGAAGGCAGUGGAGGCCUGAGCAAGAAUACCUAUGAAUAAGAGAAUAAAAAACAGUGGAGAAGUGGGCAGCAGAGGACAUUCUCAAGUGUCUGCAGGGUCGCCAUGAUGAAGAUGAUUAACUUUGCUAUCUACUAGAAUUGAAGUCAGUGGCUGAAAAUAGAAAGGGAUUUAUCUUGGUUACUGGCACACCUUGCUGUGUACAGAGAAUAUGUGAACAAACUGUAUGACACAGUAGGAAGAGCAGGGCUGUAUAUCCUGGAGUUGUAUACCUGCCACAGACUAGUGAAGUGAUUGACAGAUUGAAACCUCUAUUAGAAGUCUACAUAUCUCCAUCUAUGAAAUGGGGGUCAUGGAUAGCUAGCAUGUUAAGAUCCAUAGAAACUGUAAGGCAUUUGUUGUUUUAAAUAGUUUAAAUGGUAAUAUGAUUUAAGCAUUUGUAUUUUAUAAAAACAUACUAUUUAUAAACAUAGUAACUUACAGAAACAUAGCUGGCAUUAAUAUAAUCUGAUCCUGGAAUACUUGCAUCUGCUAUCAGCUUCACUCUGUUAUUAUUAUCUGGAAGAAAAUAUAAAGAAUUAAUGAUAAUUGGCACAUUAAACUACCAUUACUU